rnacentral:rRNA from 1 species
UCGAGAAUCUUUCACAAUGGGGGCAACCCUGAUGGAGCGACGCCGCGUGGGGGAUAAGGUCUUCGGAUUGUAAACUCCUGUCAUGCGUGAACAAGGCUGCAGGGUUAAUAACCUUGCAGAUUGAUGGUAGCGCAAGAGGAAGAGACGGCUAACUCUGUGCCAGCAGCCGCGGUAAUACAGAGGUCUCAAGCGUUGUUCGGAAUCACUGGGCGUAAAGGGUGCGUAGGUGGCGUGGUAAGUCAGAUGUGAAAGCCCGGGGCUCAACCUCGGAAUUGCAUCCGAUACUGCCAUGCUAGAGUACUGAAGAGGUGACUAGAAUUCUCGGUGUAGCAGUGAAAUGCGUAGAUAUCGAGAGGAAUACCAACGGCGAAGGCAGGUCACUGGGCAGUUACUGACACUGAGGCACGAAGGCCAGGGGAGCAAACG